rnacentral:lncRNA from 1 species
CACCCACAGUGGGUGGGUCUUCCCAUCACAACUGAAUCUCAAUCAAGAUAAUUCUUCACAGUCGUGCCCAGAGGUCCCACUCCAGAUUCCAUGGAACCUACCACCAACAGCCACCAUGGGAAGGAGGGAUUCUCCCAAAUUCCUGGAGAAUGGUCAUCGAGUGGGGAAGGGAUGCAGCCUUGGCUAAUGGCAGCAUCCUCUACCUCUUUUAGAAAGUGGAAGACCCUGGUGGACAAAGAUGGAGGAGAUUUUAAUAAUGUGGUAAGGAUCUUAAUUUAGGAGUUGAGGCUGUACGUUCUGCUC